rnacentral:rRNA from 1 species
UACGGAGGUGGCAAGCGUUACUCGGAAUUAUUGGGUGUAAAGGGCAAGUAGGCGGCUUAGUAAGUGGGGGGUGAAAUACUCCGGCUCAAUCGGAGAACAGCCUUCCAAACUACUAAGCUUGAGUAUGACAGAGGAAAAUGGAAUUCUUGGUGUAAGGGUGAAAUCUGUAGAUAUCAAGAAGAACACCAGCUGCGAAGGCGAUUUUCUGGGUCAUUACUGACGCUAAAUUGCGAAAGCUAGGGGAGCAAACAGAAUUAGAUACUCUGGUAGUCCUAGCCGUAAACGAUGAGCACUAGGUGUCGGGUCCUUUAGGAUUCGGUGCCGCAGCUAACGCAUUAAGUGCUCCACCUGGGGACUACGGUCGCAAGGCUAAA